UUAAUACUCCCUCCGUCCCGAUAUACCUGUCGGAGAAAUGGCUACAAUUAGGUGUAUCUAUAACUAAAAUACGUCUAGAUUCAUCCACUUGUCCGACAAGUAUUUCCGGACGGAGGGAGUAUAUG
rfam:Triticum aestivum genome assembly, contig: Triticum_aestivum_CS42_TGACv1_scaffold_131119_2BL